GGUGAAUUAUUUCCUAGAGAAUCCUAUGAGCAAUAAUUUAGUUGGUUGAUUGAGUGGUGACUCUAUAUCUCUUGCAAUAAUCAACCCUCAAUCAACUGCAAUCAAUUUUAUAAAGAUUAGAAAGAGAAAGUUCAUCCAUGGAAGAAGGAAGAAGGAAGAAGGAAGAAGAAGAAGAAGGAAGGCUUAAGAAAAAGGUAAAUCCUAAAAUUAGUUUAUGCAAUUGAUUUUAGUUUUCCAAAUCAAAGCUUGGAUUUAUGUCUCUAAAC
rnacentral:lncRNA from 1 species